GAAAGAAUGCUUCCACAUAAGAGAAGGGGAGCUGGGUCACUCAGUCGGAACCACAAAUAGCCCUGGAGAGAGGGAGUCAGAAGAUGUGACAGUUCCCCUGCAAUGGAUGGUGACCACACCCCCUGCCGCAGCAGCUGGUGACACAGGCCUGAAGCAUAAUGGAAGGCAUUUGGGGAUCUAUUUUUCUCUUGCUGCGUAGAAGAUUACUCACCUCACUCCUCUGUGUCACAAGGAAGGAGGUGGGGACAGGGGGACACAAUAAACUGCCAAGGAUGA